GAUGAAGAACGAAGCGAAAUGCGAUACUUGGUGUGAAUUGCAGAAUCCCGUGAACCAUCGAGUCUUUGAACGCAAGUUGCGCCCGAAGCCAUUAGGCCGAGGGCACGCUUGCCUGGGCGUCACACGUCGUUGCCCCCCCAUCUACUCCUUCGGGAUUGCGGGGGGCGGAUGAUGGCCUCCCGUGCGCCUCGCCGCGCGGUUGGCAUAAAUGCCAAGUCCUCGGCGACGCACGCCACGACAAUCGGUGGUUGCGAAACCUCGGUUGCCCGUCGUGUGCGGUCGUCGCGCAUCGAGGGCUCGAAAAAAUUGCCGGGUUCCGGCUCGGCUUUCAACGCGACCCCAGGUCAGGCGGGGUUACCCGCUGAAUUUAAGCAUAUCAAUAAGCGGAGGA
rnacentral:misc_RNA from 1 species